AAAGAAAUAAUCACUAAUUUUCAUAUAGGUCUAAUGCGAUGGAUUAGAUGUUUCUACCGGAUACCGAUAAAAUCCGACUAUGAGAAUUCCUAUGUUAAAA
rfam:Clostridium sulfidigenes strain 113A c23, whole genome shotgun sequence.